rnacentral:rRNA from 1 species
ACUCCUACGGGAUGCAGCAGUGGGGAAUUUUGGACAAUGGGCGCAAGCCUGAUCCAGCAAUGCCGCGUGCAGGAAGAAGGCCUUCGGGUUGUAAACCGCUUUUGUCAGGGAAGAAAUCCUCUGGGUUAAUACCCCGGGGGGAUGACGGUACCUGAAGAAUAAGCACCGGCUAACUACGUGCCAGCAGCCGCGGUAAU